UUAAGGUCGAUUACGGACGGCUGGUGAGAAGUGUUUGAAGCCAAUUUUAUUGCCUUCCUCUAGACUUUGUUUAUUUGUAUUUAAAACUCAGCACACCAGAUUGGCACACUCUUGAUACAUCUACUUAUGCAGAGGAAUGUAACUGAAGACAAAUUUAUUCACAUUAAGAAAAAUGAAUGAAGGUGAAAAACCCAGUCAUGUUUGUGCUGUGAUACGAGAAGACCUCAAACAGUGCCUGUUAAGUUGUGAAUGUGUAUCUGUGUAUAAGAACUCUUCCAAAGACUGCUUAAAAGGAACAACAGUUGAUGGGUCUAGGGCACCUAAAGAGUGUUGUGAGAUAGCAAAAGCGCUCUUUAAUUGUAGGCGAUCUCUGAUGGACAACCGUUAUAGGUUCAGGGGACCAAAGGCCUACUGAGCAAAUACAUUUUAAUUUAAUACAGGAUAGUGGAAAAAUGUUUUUAAAGGGACUUCCUCCCCUCCCUCUCCAGGCAGUAUGAAGAUAUGGUCGUUGUUACAAACUGAACAGUGCCAAUGACUUAAUAACAUAUAAGUGUGUAUUAAUGUUCUGGGUUGCAGUUAAAUAGAAAUAAGCAAAUUGAAUUCACGGAUUUCCUGCUGCCAUCUUCUAAACCAACUUCAGUAAAUUUAUUAUUUUCCGCAUUUUUAAAAAUAGACUACAAUGUCAAACAGGAUGGUGACUUUCUCAUGCAAAGAGAUGCAUUGUGUUGUUGCUCCAGCAGUGGGUUGUGACAUCAUAUAAUGAAAUAUUGUACCCAUAUAUAUAUUACUGCGAAUGUUAUGCACAUACUGGAACAGGUAAUUGUACAUACUUAUUAAUUGUGAAAACUGUGCAUUUUGAAUAAACAUAUUGUCGUAUAUAUCAUUUUUAAGACAUUUAUUUUUUUACUUCUCAUAAAUACGUACAUUGUGUGCAUGCUUCUUACAUUGCUCAACGAAAUGGUGAAAUCUUAUUAAUACUUUGAUAAAAAAACUUAAUACGUACAGGAUUUACAUCUACUAAUAUACAAAAUUAUACAAAUGCUGACAAUGAUGAAAAGUCUACAUAAUUCCAAGCACUUUCAUAGCACCACAUAAAAUGACUUUAGGUCAAAUGUUUCACUUUUACUACAAAAGGGAAAAGUAUGACCUAUGGAGGCUAAAUUAAAUAGUAUUGAAAAAAAAAAAAUGAUUGCCACUGCAAGGUGUGAAAAUGAACUUAUUUCCAAAAACUUUGUUUUAUUUUAAAUUAGCUUAAUAUGAACACAUGGCAAACUUUUCAAUUUUACAAAACAAAUAUCAGUGAACACAGAGGUUGGAUCAAAUAUACAUACUGAAACAAGAGAAACUGAGGUUAACCCCUUAUUCUAUUCAACUUGUGUGCAUCUUCUUAAAGCAAAGACUUGCUGUAAGUAAAUGGCUGCUUAUUGGUUGAUCUGUUUUUAACCACGACUGUGCAGUUUCAUUAGCUUUCCAAUAAAAUUGGUCAUAUUUCAAACUAGAAGUGCUAAUAAAUCAUUUUCAGGUAAUACCACGGAUAUUUUUUUACAAUUCCUGAUAAAUCAAAAUAAUUAAAAACCCAGUGUAGUGUGAAACCAUUAAAUACUUGCUUAUCAAGAAAAUUGCAACUUUUGUGGGAGCAAUCUCAUCAAACAGCAGAAUGAGAAAGGUGACUAAAAUUAACACAAGCUUACUGACCAGCAAAUAUGAACUGACCUUUAAAAUGUCCACAGGAAAAUAUCUAUUCCGAGUCAGAAUUUUUCACGUAAACUUUAAAACUGCCACGAUAAAAGCAUUACAUUCUUUGAAUAAUAAUAAUAAACUUCUCUAUUAGGGUACACCUUUGCUGUCACAUAAUGAAGUCCAAUGAGUAACAAAAUGGCUUCAUGUACAGACACAUCUGUCAAUUCUGUCUGUACAUAAAAAUGUUAAUACAUAUAUGUAAUUUUAUAGGUUUGAUAGGCAAAUAUAUUCAAUACAAUUUAUUUACACUAGUAAUGGCACAUGUUCAGAUUCCUGUUAACAUGGAAAAAGAAAAAAAAAAAAAAAAAAAAA